GCGUAAGGGUGCUUAACACGUGGGUAACUGCCGUAAAGCCCGGAAUAACUUGCUGAAAGGCGAGCUAAUACCGGAUGUGAUUUCGGGGGGCCUCUCUCUGAAAUUAAAGCUGGGGACCGCAAGGCCUGGCACUUUACGAUGAGCCGCGGCCUAUCAGCUAGUUGGUGAGGUAACGGCUCACCAAGGCUUAGACGGGUAGCUGGUUGAGAGGACGACCAGCCACACUGGAACUGAGACACGGUCCAGACACCUACGGGUGGCAGAGUCGAGAAUUUUUCACAAUGGGGGAAACCCUGAUGGAGCGACGCCGCGUGGGGGAUGAUGGCUUCGGCCCGUAAACCCCUGUCAUUUGCGAUCAAGAUUGUCGAACUAAUACUCCGGAGUUUGAUGGUAGCGGAAGAGGAAGGGACGGCUAACUCUGUGCCAGCAGCCGCGGUAAU
rnacentral:rRNA from 1 species